GGAACCUGCCGGAAUUCUCCGUGGAAUCUCACUUGGGCUUUGCCUCCUGGCGCAUUUCACCAAGGCCGCAUUUACCCCUUUGAGGCAAGGAAGGCUCCAGAUGCAGCGAGGCUUCUGGUGGCAGAACGAGAUUCUUGCUGAGAGAAAUACAGAAGCAUGGGUUCCAGCAAGAGGAAAAGUGAGUCCAAGGAAUGGCGUGGGAUUUAAGCAAUAGCGCAGAGGGACGAAGAGAGGAAUGAAGGAAGCCCCCGCACCUUGAAGUGACUCAGUUGACAGGUGAUCCUUGAACUCACAGCCCAUUGACCAAACCGUGUCACACGGCCCCAGGGUCACCACAAAGGAGGCUGGGACAUGUUGGGCAAGACUGUGAGUAUUUGGUCUACAGUAACUCCGGCACAUGUGCCGAGUGGGAGAAGCAUGAUUCAGACGC